GGUUACCAUGAUCACGAACCAAAAUUAGAAUUUAAAUAUCCAAUCAGUUUUUCUUGAUAAGCCCUUUCUACUUCAGUAAAUAAAGAUAGUCAAAUGCUGCAAUCGAGACGCGGUCGACCGUUGCUCUUAUUUAGAAAUUUCAUUUAUUCCCAUUCAUCCGGUUUCCCUUCGAAAAAUGGGCACAGAUGGCUCUGUACGUCACAUAGAUCGAAAGCAUGUAAAGCGUACAUACUAACUGGUACAGACGACACAAUCGUAAGAUACGUGAACGAAUAUCAUAACCAUGACAACCCCCAAUUUGUUAUAACCCCGGAUGGUUCGUAUCAUCCUAUGUAAAUGCGGAAAUAUAUAGAAAGAAAGCUAUUCCCACAGAGGAUGUGAUAAUAUACGUCACGCUGAAUCUCCUGUUUUGAAUCCCUUGUCACGCUAUGUCACUCUGUACGUACCUAGUAGUACGUCACUAAGGGCCUGUGUCACCGUUUGCUAUUAACGCUAUUAGACAGAUGACGGUAACCAAAGGAUAAAAGUUUAU
rnacentral:misc_RNA from 1 species